CAGGGGUCUCGAACCUAGGGCUCGCGAGCCAGGUGUGGCCCUUUUGAUGAUUGCAUCUGGCUCGCAGAUAAAACAACAAAAUCUCAUUUGUUUUAUCCAUCCAAAAAUUAUUACAUUACUCGUGAGUUUGUUUGGGGGUUUUUUUGUCUGUAGUGGUAUAAGUCAUCCAAAGGAGAUUUUCUGUUCAUCAUCUGGUAGUUUGCAUGGUCUCUAUUUAUAACCAUUGCCAAGCCACAACAGAUCAACUGGACCACCCUCAGGAAGUGCACACGGAUAAAAAAAAUUUAAAUCCGGCCAUCCAUUAUUAAUGGGUUGCUAAUUAAUGGGUCACAGUCAGGUAGCAGUUGUUAAUAACGCACUCAUGUCGCGCAAAUCCUAUACAGUUCAUGCUCUUAUUUAUUGAUUUGUCCAUCAAUUUCCUAUCACCCUUAUUGUAGGGUGAGCUGGAGCACGCCCCAACUUCCACUCGGGAAGGCAGCAACGGAGAUUCAAACCAGAAUCGUCAGGCAGAUGUGCUGGCCACUAUUGCAUGUUUUGCCUCUUUCAUUAGACCGGGGAACACAUAUUUUUUUUGUUGAGAUAGGCGUAGGUUCUCCAAAUGUGUCAAGAAUCUCAUCCAAGGAAUGUAGUGUAUGUUUGUCCAGGUGUUAGCGUUCCUAAUUUUGCAUUUUGUUUGACUUAAUUCAUUCACGUUAGUAAAGCUAUUUGUGUUUGAUUGAGUUUAAAAAAUGUCUUUUACUUUUUAAUUUUGUAUAGUGGAGGAUAUUUUAGGCCUUUUUUAUUUGUACUUUUUACACUUGUAGGAGUAUUUGUUAUAAUUCGG